rnacentral:lncRNA from 1 species
UGUAAGAAUGGUAGAGGGGCUUUUCUUAGCAUUGAAUUAAUAAUUCAGUGGCUCCUCGGGAGUCGAAUGGGCAUUUGGGACACCAGAAGGAAAAGAAAUCAUCAUAGUCUAAGGUUCAGUUGUAGAUCAAAAAAUGCAGCCAGGCCGGGCACGGUGGCUCACACCUGCAAUCCCAGCACUUUGGGAGGCCAAGGCAGGCGGAUCCCUUACACUCAGGAGUUCAAGACCAGUCUGGGCAACAUGGUAAAACCCUGUCUCUACCAAAAAAUACAAAAUUAGCCAGGCAUAGUAGUGUGUGCCUAUAGUCCUAACUUGGGAGGCUGAGUUGGGAGGAUGGCUUGGGCCCAGGAGGUCGAGGCUGCGGUGAGCCAUAAGCAUGCCACUAUACUCCAGCCUGGGCAACAAAGCGAGACCCUGUCUCAAAAAAAAAAAGAAACUGCAGCCAAGCCAGCCCCUAGGUCUCUUUCUAGAGCGAUCACUGAUGGCACCAGGGUGAGCAGGGGCACUGUAUGCAUGUGGAGACAAACAGCACAUGCCUGGCACACAUGUAGGGUAGGGAGUGGUUAAAGGCACUGGCUGUCGACUCAUACACAUGAUCUGAAAUCUGAUUCUGCUUUAACCCGGCUACAGGAGCUAAGGCCUAUUUUUUAGCCCUUUGGGAUCUGUAAAAUCAGAAUGGUACCCACCUCAUGGGGACAUGAAAGGAUUCAAAUGAAUUGAUGAAGAUGGGCCAUAAAGCCCAGCACAGUCCAAGUGCUCACUCACUGAGAGUUACGGUUAUCACAGGGGUUGGGCCCCCAGCCCCUCCCAGGUCAUCUGCUCUACCACUAGCUGGUAGGAAAGAGCCUCCUGCCCUCCCAACCCCCGUCACCUACUUGGCCCAAAUUUGGCUGCAGGCUCCCCGAGUGCCUGGGCUUCUCUACCCAGGGUCCUGUCUGUCGGCUGCACCAUACGUCCCUGACCACAAGGCAUCCACGUGCACAGGAGUAUGCGCCCAGCAGCUGGGAAGGAGGCUGACCUCAGACGGUGGCCUGUGGAUCCCAGCUCUGUCAUUUCCUGGCUGGGUGACCUCAACCUAGUCACCCUUUUUGAGUCUUGUUUUCUCAGAUUAUGAAAUAGGAAAAAUUUCCUUCCUCGUGAGAUAAGCACGUGCCAUUAGCUAUUAAGGACACGCACAUAAAUGAGCUGCAUGUGAAUCCACACAUGCCAUUCCAUGAAGACAGAGGAUCAUGUGGAUCUUUGGUGCCUUCCGGUUGGCCCCUCCCUAGGUCUGUGAGGGUCAGACCUGUCCUGAGGCUUUUACAAAUUGGCCCAGAACUCAUUUAACCACAGCAUCAUUUCAUUAGAGGGCUGUUAUUAGAGACUGAAUGUUUGUGUCCCCCCCAAAUUCCUGUGUUGAAAGGCUCACCCCCACUAUGGUAGUGUUAGGACGUGGGGCCUUUGGGAGGUGAUGGGGUUAUGAGGGUGGAGCCCCAGAGAGCUCUCACGCCCUUUCCACCAUGUGAGGUUAUGGUGAGAAGAUGGUCUCUGAGGAAGCUGGCCCUUGCCACACACCACAUUUGCCAGCGCCUUCAUCUUGGAUGUCUAUAGCCUCCAGAACUGUGAGAAAUAAACACUUGUUGUUUAAGCCACCAAAAAAG